rnacentral:rRNA from 1 species
AGGCAGCAGUGAGGAAUAUUGGACAAUGGAUGGAAAUCUGAUCCAGCCAUGCCGCGUGCAGGAAGACGGCCUUAUGGGUUGUAAACUGCUUUUAUACGGGAGCAAUAAGGGUUACGAGUAAUCCGAUGAGAGUACUGUAUGAAUAAGGAUCGGCUAACUCCGUGCCAGCAGCCGCGGUAAUACGGAGGAUCCGAGCGUUAUCCGGAAUUAUUGGGUUUAAAGGGUGCGUAGGCGGCCAUUUAAGUCAGCGGUGAAAUUUUGCAGCUUAACUGUAACAGUGCCGUUGAUACUGUUUGGCUAGGAUUUGGUUGUAGUGUGCGGAAUGUGUGGUGUAGCGGUGAAAUGCUUAGAUAUCACACAGAACACCGAUUGCGAAGGCAGCACACUAAGUCAUUAUUGACGCUGAGGCACGAAAGUGUGGGGAUCAAACAGGAUUAGAUACCCUGGUAGUCCACACUGUAAACGAUGAUAACUCGCUGUCGGCGAUACACAGUCGGUGGCCAAGCGAAAGCAUUAAGUUAUCCACCUGGGGAGUACGACCGCAAGGUUGAAACUCAAAGGAAUUGACGGGGGCCCGCACAAGCGGAGGAACAUGUGGUUUAAUUCGAUGAUACGCGAGGAACCUUACCCGGGCUCGAACGGUGCAUGAAUAUACGAGAGAUUGUAUAGUCCUUCGGGACAUGUAUCGAGGUGCUGCAUGGUUGUCGUCAGCUCGUGCCGUGAGGUGUCGGCUUAAGUGCCAUAACGAGCGCAACCCUUGUCAUUAGUUGCCAUCAGGUCAAGCUGGGGACUUUAAUGAGACUGCCACCGUAAGGUGUGAGGAAGGGGGGGAUGACGUCAAAUCAGCACGGCCCUUAUGUCCGGGGCGACACACGUGUUACAAUGGGAGGUACAGAGGGCAGCUAUCCGGUGACGGAAUGCUAAUCUCCAAAACCUUUCUCAGUUCGGAUUGGAGUCUGCAACUCGACUCCAUGAAGGUGGAUUCGCUAGUAAUCGCGCAUCAGCCAUGGCGCGGUGAAUACGUUCCCGGGCCUUGCACACACCCCCCGUCAAG